CGCCAUAUUUGUUCCUUCCUUCAGUAAAUACAACAGAAAACAAAAAAAAAAAGAAAGAAAGAAAAGGAAAGUAGAGGGAAGGGAGAACAGAGAAGGAGAGGGAGAGAGGGACGAGCCAGCACCGGUUGGCCUCCCCGUCGCCGCCGAGUUGCUCGCCGCCCGUCGCCGUCGCUAUGCCGUCGGGAGGGAGAUUCAAGAGAGCGAGCAUGGAGUUGAGGGAGCAGAAGGGACCGCGCCACCAUCGCGGAGAGUGAGAGAGGCGUCGCUGAGCCUGAGUCGCUGCUGGAAGAUCUUCGUGCUUCAUCGUCACCGUUUGCCUUCCAUCCAGCCCGAACCACCGUGCAAGGGGGAAAUCACCGCCACUGCGCCACGCGUCGCCGCCGACCUGCCUCGAAGCCGCCGUCGCGGAUCAGAUCUGAGGCGAGAGAGAGAGAGACACGAAGGAGGGAACCGUGCACUGCCAUCGCGCCUAGUCACACCCUCACCGCGAAGCCAUCACCGCCGAACUGUCUUUGAUGAUGGAGGUUCCGUUGCCGAGCUGUUGAGUCGCCGCUGCCGCCGUUGGGUUCGCCGGGAGUGUGAGCCCGAACGGGAAUGAGAAAGAACAGGAAGGUGGCCACCGUGGGUGUCACUGUCGGAGGAGGAAAAGGACGUUCCGCUGUGUACCGCCGUUCCGGGAACCACCGCUGCCUCUGCCGCCGAAUAACGCACUUU
rnacentral:lncRNA from 1 species